rnacentral:lncRNA from 1 species
UCGUUAACCCGGAUUCCACUAGUCUCUUCCUUUUUCUUAUACGGCUUCCAAUCAUUGAUAUGUUCUUUUUUUCUUUUCGUUUUUUUAUUUCAUGUGUAAUCUAAAUGAUAUUUUUGGUUUAAUAAAAUCCUUCUCCUUAAUUUCCAGAAUCUUGAAUAUUUAAUAUUAGGAAAAUUCUUCGGCGCAUCUGAUGCAUCGAAUGCUCCCACUUAAUUGAACACAUUUGUAUCGUUUAAUAUUUAAAAGCAAUCUUAACGGUUAAU